CCUUAUCAUCACCCCCCGCUCGCGUUCUGCAUCGCCAACCUGCACGUCAUCACCAACGAUAUCAUCAUCCCCACUCUGUUGACAUAAUUAAAAAUAUAACGCAUUAGUCCAUAUGAGAGAAUUAAAAAGACAAUAUGAAAAUUAAAUAACAUGCAGAUUAAUUAACUUAAAGUAAAUACAAUAUCUGAGUAGGCGGAGGAUGACUCCUUAUUGGGCCAAAGCCUACGGGAGUAAAGUAACCACCAACUGGAGCACCUCGGCGGCUAUCACGACGAACUGCUCCUGCAGGAUACCCGUAUUCUCGACGGUGGUCCCUGCUGUAAUAUCCUGAGCUAGCUGGUGAAGGCGAGCUCUGUGACGCCCCCAAAAUUAGGUAUUCAUCACCCAUUUUGAGUCGCCAAAUACAUGGUACACAAUACAAAUACAAAUUUAACUAUACAGCUGUCGUGUAAAAUACGAUAAAACAUAAACUGAGAGGUUAAACAAGAAUACUGCCUUCUAGACAAUAUCCAUUCUCAAUGGAGUACUCAUAGACAGUAUACAAACUCAAAUUCAGUCCUCGUUACAUUUAUUUUCACAUUAUUUAACAGAAUAGUGAGGACUACUAAUGCUAUCAUCUGGACCUUCACUCCGUUUUUCGACUCGUCCCAACUAUAUUCUCAUUUCCUGAAGAGAACAGUGAAAGAAAGGGUGAGCUCAACUAGCCCAGUAAGAAAUAUUAUGACUAAGAUAAUACAGAAUAAAUUAUCAUUAGUCUUAACAAUGUUAAACUGAUAAUAUAAAAUAGACAUCAAGUUUAACUGCAGCGGAAUAUGCAAUCUAUUAAAUGAGUCAAGUAGAGAAUAAAGUCUACUCUCUUUUGGGUUUUAAAAGGUUUUCAUCAAUUUUUAUCGCUGAGACUCAGCUUAAUAAAUAAACCACAUCUUCUAAUCAUCCCUGUACUACGGGCCAAAGACAUUCAUUAAAUCAUCAAUGGUCAUGACUAUACCGAAUAAUCUCUAGUCAUAAUCAUACCCAGUCCAUCUCUGUACGUAAGCCAAAUAUAUACAACAAUGAAACCAAUAAUCAAUAAUCCAUCUUUGCACGUAAGCCAAAGAUAUACAAUUUAAUAAUCAACAGUCCAUUUCGCACGGAAGCCAAAGAUAACUUUUAUCACCAUAUAAGCAUGACGAUGAUGACAAUUGUAAGACCCCGAUUUUUUUUUUUAUAAAUAAAAUGGAAUUUCCUUUAUUUAUUAUUUUGAAAUAGUAAGGGUUGAUUUGAUUAAUGUGGUUAGCUAUGGGUAAAAUGCGCAAAUUUUAUAAAAUAAGCAAGUGGUUAUAAAAUAUUCAUUAUUGUCGGGGAAUAUUCGUUUGGUCGGGGAAUAUUCGUACGACGGCGCAGCCAUGUGUGGGCCCCAUAACGGAAAGCGAUUGGAGGAAGAAAACGACAAAUAUAAGUUGUUUAAAAAUAACGGCGUAGUUGUUACCGUUUACACUGUUGGAAUACCCGGUGGUUAAAAUACAGUAAUACGCGUUGUUGCACAGUAGCACACGGUAUUGCACCAAUUAUUGAUUCUUACGUAAGAAGGCACUACUCAAUAAUGGUUACAGUAAUUACUGUUCAGUAUUUUAUUUUAUUGAUUCAAUAAUUGCUGCGUUGAUAUUUUAUAUUGCUGUUGUUUCAAUAAUUGUCAUUACACAGUAUUUUUCAUUAUCGAAGCAAUAAUUCAUAUUAUCUGAAUAAUAUUAUUAGAUAACAUUAUUGGCAAUGUCUAGAAAGUUCUGUCUAAGGAGAGGUUUGGUCACCUAAUUGCGCGCCAGUAAGGAGAAAUUCUUAUUGGAAAGCCCCCUCUUUCCUGGGAACUGCCUGGUUGUCAAUAUUGUGAUUCUGUAAUAUUAUUUGUGAAUAAUUAAUUAUUGAUUCAUAUGAUGAGGAAAAUAUUGAUUUUAUGUGGAUAUAGAUGGAGAAAAUUUUUAAUGUGACAAUUGUUGAAAAUUGAAAUUUUAUCUUUUUCUGAUAAAAUAAUUCAUAUAUAUAUAUAUAUUAUUAUAUUUUAAUAAUAUAAUAAUGGUGAUAUUUUUACAACGAAUGUGGGAUAUAUGAGUAUACGAGGAGGAAGAGUAUUUUUGUUGCAAUAAAUGUUUAAAACAUGUUAAACAUGUCGGUGGACCCCAUUUAUUGACUGAAAUUUGAUUAUAGCCUGUAAAAUCACCCGUUUGUGGAUUUCGGUCAAUUUCUGUUUGGAAUUUGGAAAAACUUUCUUCUGCAAAGUUGUAGAGAAUUGAAUUUCCUAUAAAAACUCGCGAGAUUCGAAUUUUCUGACAAAAGGGCUAUUUAUUGUGAAUUAUUGAAGUUCCGAAGCUCCGAAAUAAUUGAUUUUUGGAAGUUUAAAUUAUUUUAAAUAAUAAAAACGUUUUUAACAAGGUAGGUGUGCCCACUAGCAUGGAAAAAGAGCUGAGAUCAGAUUGUCCAAGGUGUGCGUGAAGAUUAUAUAUAUAUAUAUAUAUAUUAAUAUUUUAUUAAAUUUUCUGCUUUGGUGUUCUAAGCAUUUUCCUAUAAAUAGGGUGCUUAGGUUAGAAUUGAAAAUCACACCAGAAACUGAAGUUUUCUCUCUCUAUAUUAUCGAGCGUAUUCUUGUGAGUAUUUUGAGUAUACUUUGAGUAUUGCUAUACGGUGAAAGUUCAAGAUAUAGCCUAUAUCCAGUAUUCCAGUUAGAAGUACUGAUCUUUCGAGGUAAGGGAUAUUUUUUUUUUUCGUAAUGAUAUUAUUUCUUCAAUAUCAUUAUGCUGAAAUAUUGAUCUGAAGUUUUUAUCAAAUUUGGAACUUUUGGUGUCGGAGUUACUAUUCACGUAUACGGCACUAUUCACGUAUACGGUACUAUUCACGAAUACGGCACUAUUCAUCGAAAAAUGAAAAUUUUCCUUUUCGUCCAAAAUAUCUAUUGUGGAUACUAGCUUUGAUUGUAUCCAUGUUUUGAUCAUUCUUGAAUUUUACACCACUAUGAUUAUUUUUGAGGUAUUUUUGGACAUGGAUAAAACAAAGUACGAAUCCUUAAUCCUUAAUCCUUGUCAUUUUGUUUCACUGGAUUCGUUUCUUUAAAAAUAUUUUUCAUCAUCCUCAGUCUUAAAUGAUGAUAUUAUUGAAUAUCUUUGGCCUGUAGUGCAAAGAUGAAUGAUUUCUGAUGAAUAUCUUUGGCCCGUAGUGCAAAGAUGAACAGGUGUUUAGAUGAACAUGACCAACUGAUGAAUAUCUUUGGCCUGUAGUGCAAAGAUGAAUAUUUGAUUCCAGAUAUAUAUUGAUUGAUGUUACAGGGAUAAAAGAUAGACGAUGAACUUUUAAAUUCAUACAUAGAAGAUAGUAGUUUGCAUUCUCUACUUAACUCUUCUAAUGAAUUAUUAUUUCCGCUGCGAAUAUUGAUUUAAAACUUGUUGUCUAUUGUAUUCUAUUAGAUUUUUCCCUGUUGAAGACUAACGAUAAUUUGUUGUAUAUUAUCUUAGUCAUAAUAUUCUUUACUGGGCUAGUUGAGCUCACCCUUUUCCUUUUUGUUCCAUUUUUCUUCUCAGGAGACGAGAAUAUAGCGGGAACUAGUCGGGGUGUGGAGUAAUGGUUCAAGAAAGUUGUUUUAGUAGUCCUCACUAUUUUGUAAAAUAGUGUAUCAAUAAUUGUAAUGAGGACUUAUUUGAGUGUGGAUAUUGUCUAGAUGACAAUAUUUGUAUUUAAACUCACAGUUUUUAUGUUGUAUUAAUAAAGUUGUAGUUGUUUCUGUACCAAUUUAUUGACGACUCAGAAUGGGUGAUGUAUACCUAUUUUGGGGGCGUCACAGUUGGUAUCAGAGCUUAGGGAUAUGAUCUCUGGCGGAGAUCGGGGAAUAGAACUAGGAGGGGAGAGACGAGUAAAUCCUUCGCUAGUGUGUCCUACCUAAGCUUAUUUGUUAGUUGGUCAGUAUAUAGGGAUAUUAUGUGAUAUAUUGAUUUCCUUAAUUAACCCUUGUUUUAUGACAGUAUUUGAGAAUGUCGACUGAGAAUAUUAACAGUGGAGUAAAUGAGACCGUGGAGACGCCGGUACUCACCAACGAGGAGAACGUGCAACAGGCUGGCAAUGUUCCUCCUGUGAACAACGCCACUGAGCAGAUGAUGAACGACGGGAUGUUUAGAAGCUUUUUGCAGUUCAUGCAAAAUCAGACGAGGGAGACUCGUGUACAAAAUACGGGAGGAAAUGAUAGUAACGCGCGGUUUGUCACGGCCAAACAAUUCAAAGAGUUGGGACCACCAGAUUUCCAUGGAAAGCCGGAUCCGAUCAAGGCAGAAACGUGGGUCAAGCAAAUUACCAAGAUAUUUGAUGUCUUGGGAUGCACGGAGGAACAGAAGGUUCCAUUCGCCACCUUUAUGUUUCGUGGUGAAGCAGAUUACUGGUGGGAAUCUGUGAAGCGUACCCAGCCAGAUGCACUCAACAUGUCUUGGGAAAGAUUUCAGAAACUGUUCAAUGACAAGUACUUCCCUGAAAGUAUUCGUCAUAUGAAGGAAGUGGAGUUUAUUAGACUGGAGCAGAGUAACAUGACGGUGUCUCAGUACGAGGCGAAGUUUGCGGAGUUGUCCAGGUUUGCACCUCAUUUGGUGGAAAAUGAGGAACGUAUGACGCGUAUGUUUCUGAGGGGUCUAAAACUCGAAAUUCGUCAAUACCUCAUUUCUCAUAAAUUUUCUCUAUAUUCAGAUGUUGUAAACAUGGCUCAAUUAUUAGAGCGAGAUAAUGAGUCUGUUCAACCGGGCGACCAACAACACGAUAAAAAUUAUAAAUUUUAUAAAUUUUGCAAAGUAUGCAAGUUGUCAGAUUAUAAAUACUUGCAUACUUUGCAAAAUUUAUAAAUACUACCCACAACUAUAAUAUUAUAUCAAUUCCCCACCAUAAUAUUAAAAAAUAUUUCGAGAAAAUUAAAUAUUUAUUCAUAAAAUCUGGGUUCUCACAAGUUUGGUUGGGCAACUCCUAACGACGGAUAACCGGAUCUGUACGAAAUGUCUCCGACACCGCCGCCAUGACCAUUUGGAAAAUCUCAUUGUCCAAGCCAGCGCCUGUAUGAGAUGGUCCAACAAGUGUUCUUGGAUGCUGACGCUGACUAAACCAUGCGAAAAUAACAUUACUAAUAAUAUUUGUAGUUAAUUUAUCUUUAACUUAUAAGAAAUAAUAUUACCUUCAGGUAGUGUAUACGAUAAUAUCCUCGGCAGACCCAACACUUGAUAUGUGACGCCCCCAAAAUAGGUAUACAACACCCAUUUUGAGUCGCCAAUUAUAUGGUACAGAAAGCAAACUACAACUUCAAUAAUACAAUUGUCGUGCAAAAUACGACAACACAUACUGUGAGUUUAAAUACAAAUAUUAUCUUCUAGAUAAUAUCCACACUCAAAUAAGUCCUNNNNNNNNNNNNNNNNNNNNNNNNNNNNNNNNNNNNNNNNNNNNNNNNNNNNNNNNNNNNNNNNNNNNNNNNNNNNNNNNNNNNNNNNNNNNNNNNNNNNNNNNNNNNNNNNNNNNNNNNNNNNNNNNNNNNNNNNNNNNNNNNNNNNNNNNNNNNNNNNNNNNNNNNNNNNNNNNNNNNNNNNNNNNNNNNNNNNNNNNNNNNNNNNNNNNNNNNNNNNNNNNNNNNNNNNNNNNNNNNNNNNNNNNNNNNNNNNNNNNNNNAGUCCAUCAUCAAUAUUUUAUCCCUGUAACAUCAAUCAAUAUGCAUCUUUAAUCAAAUAUUCAUUUUUGCACUACGGGCCAAAGAUAUUCAUUUGUAUCACCAGUCGGUUAUGUUCAUCUCAACACCUGUUCAUCUUUGCACUACGGGCCAAAGAUAUUCAUCAGUUAAUCAUUCAUCUUUGCACUACAGGCCAAAGAUAUUCAGUAACAUCAUCAUUUAAGACUGAGGAUGAUGAAAAAUAUUUUAAAGAAAACGAAUCCAGUGAGACAGAAGGACAAAUAUUAGAAAUUCAUAUUACAGUUUAUCCAAGAUCAAUAAUACUUCAUAAUAACCACUUGUGAAGCAGAAUUCAAAAAUAAAGUUCAAAAUACGGAUACAAUCAAAGAUAGUAACCAUAAUAGACAUCUUGGAUGAAAAGAAAAAAAUUUCAUUUUUCAGUGAAUAGUGUCGUAUUUGUGAAUAGUGUCGUAUACGUGAAUAGUGCCGUAUACGUGAAUAGUAAUCCUGACAUAAAAAGGUAGAAAUUCCACAAUAAAAUCCAUACCAAUAUUUCGGUAUAAUGAUAUUGAAAGAAUAACACCAUUACGAAAAAAAUAACAUCUCUUACCUUAAAAUAAUCGUACUUCUGACUGAAUUUCGGAUAUAGUACUGACAGAAACUUGCACUGAAUAGCAAUUCUCGAAGUAUCAAAAUACUCACAAAAAUACGCCCGAUAAUCUAGAGAGAAAGAAAACUUGUUUCUGGUGUGAUUUUCAAUUCUAACCUAAGCGCUUAUUUAUAGGAAAAUGCUAGAACGCCAUAGGAGACUAAAAUAAUAAAAUAUUAUUUUUUCUUUCUUUUUUUCCUACGCAUGCAAGGACCAGCCAUCUAGCAUGCCAUUCUUGAAAAAAUUCCAGCAGCCCACAUGUUAAAACAAAAGUGGGUCCCACCCAUAAUUUAAUAAAAAUUAUUUUAUUUUCUGAAACUUCAGUAAUUCAUAGAAAAUAGUCCGUUUAUCAGAAAAAUACGAAUUUUAUGUCCAUUCCACACGAAAUCGAAUUCUCUACAACUUUGUAGCUUUGAGUUUUUCCAAAUUCCAAAUGAAAAAUAUUUGAAAUCCACAAACGGAUGAUUUUUAAUAUCUCCAUUCCGACAAAAUACUGAUAAAACACCUUAGCAUUAAUUCCUUCAUUUAUAAUCACAUAAAAUAAAUAAAUCCAUCAUUUAUAUCCAUAUCAAAUAAAUAUUUUCUUAUCAUAUAAAUCAAUAACUAAUUAUUCACAAAUAAUAUUACAGAAUCACAAUUAUGACAACCAGGCCGUUCCCAGGAAAUAGGGGGCUUUCCAAUAAGGAUUUCUCCUUACUGACACGCAAUUAGGUGACCAAACCUCUCCUUAACAGAACUUUCUAGACAUUGCCAAUAAUGCUUAUCUAAUAAUAUUAUUCAAAUAAUAUGAAUUAUUGAUCUGAUAAUGGGAAAUACUGUGCAGUGAUAAUUAUUGAAACAACAAUAAUAUAAACUAUCAACGCAGUAAUUAUUGAAUCAAUAAAAUAAAAUAUUGAACAGUAACUACUGUAACAAUUAUUGAGUAGUGCCUUCUUACGUAAGAAUCAAUAAUUCAACAAUACUGUGCAAUACCGUGUGCAACCACGCGUAUUACUGUAUUUUAACCACCAGGUAUUCCAACAGUGUUAACGGUAACAAUUACGCCGUUAUUUAUAAAAACUCAUACUUUGUCAUUUUCCUUCAUUCAACCAUUUUUCGUUAUGGGGCCCACAAAUGGUUGCGCCGUCGUACGAAUAUUUCCCGACAACAAGAAUAUUCCACGACCAAACGAAUAUUCCCCGACAGAAAUGAAUAUUUUAUAACCACUUGUUUAUUUUGCAAAAUUUGCACAUUUCACCCAUAACCAAAGCAUUAUAUCAAAUUAACACCUUAUUAAUUUAGAAUAAUGAAUAGAGGAAAAAUUCAAUUUUAUUUAUAAUAAGUUGGGGUCUUACAACCUCCUCCCCUUAUAAAAUUUCAUCCUCGAAAUUAACGUACGUACCUGGUGUUUCGAACAGGUGAAGGUACCUCGCUUUCAUUUCCGAUUCCAACUCCCAGGUCAUUUCUUCAAUAACAUGGUUCCUCCACAAAACCUUAACUUGUGGUAUAACCUUGGUGCGUAGAACAUGCUCUUUCCUAUCCAAGAUCUUAACAGGUACCUCAUCGUACGUUAAAUCUUCGGCUAUUUCGUCUGGUUCUAAUGCAAUAACGUUGUUCGGGUCUUUCACAUAUUUACGAAGCAUAGAUAUGUGAAAAAUAUUAUGAACACGAGACAUGUUUGGAGGUAAUGCGAGUCUAUAGGCCACAUUUCCUAUUCGGUCAAGAAUCUCAAAUGGACCAACAAAUCGUGGAUUGAGCUUUCCUCUUUUCCCAAAUCUUGUAACUCCCUUCCAUGGAGCAAUACGUAACAGUACAUGAUCUCCAAUAUUAAAUUCCAUAUCCUUUCGAUGAAGAUCAGCAUAACUCUUUUGUCGAUCCUGUGAGGUUUGAAUACGUUGUCGAAUCAUUUGGAUCUUUUCUGUAGUCAUGCGUACUAAUUCUGGUCCCAACAACGUUGCUUCUCCCACCUCGUCCCAGCAUACUGGAGAACGACACUUUCGUCCAUACAACGCCUCGAAUGGAGCCAUGCCUAUACUUGCUUGAUAACUGUUAUUGUAGGAGAAUUCUACCAGUGGCAAAUACUUAUCCCAACUUCCUUUGAAAUCUAGGACACAGAGUCUUAAUAGAUCUUCAAGGGUUUGAAUAGUCCUUUCCGAUUGUCCGUCCGUUUGAGGAUGAUAUGCCGAACUGAAUCGUAAAUUCGUGCCUAUAGCUUUCUGCAAGCUAACCCAAAAUCUUGAAGUGAAUCUUGGGUCACGAUCCGAAACUAUGGAUACUGGCAUGUUAUGAAAUCUCACAGUCUCAUUCACGUACAUACGAACAAAACGUUCAAGGGAAUAAUUUUCUGGUAUAGGUAAGAAAUGAGCAGACUUGGUUAAUCUAUCAACAAUAACCCAAAUCACAUCUAUGCCUUAAGAAACUUUGGGAAGACCUAUAACGAAAUCCAUAGUAAUGUGUUCCCACUUCCAUUCUGGAAUCUCAAGUGGUUGUAAUGGACCUUUUGGCACUUGAUGCUCCGCCUUUACUCGUUGACAAGUUAAACACCUCGAGAUAAACUCUACGAUCUCUCUCUUCAUAUUGUUCCACCAAAAUGUGUGUCGAAUAUCAUGAUACAUUUUGGUACUUCCAAGAUGGAUUGCAAACGGUUUGUUGUGUGCCUCCAUCAUGAUUCUAUGCUUCAAGUCAGUGUCGUUAGGAACACAAAGUCUGGAGUUGAAUCUAAGUAUUCCUUCUUCAUCGAUUCUUACUUCCAGAAUAGCACCUUCUUUCACUUUCUUCUUCAUACGCAUCAUCCCCAGGUCCGUAGAUUGAGCAACUUUAACUUUAUCGAUUAAAGUUGGUUCUACUCGUAUAUUUGCCAUCAUCACGUGGGUCCCUGGAGUCUUUAACUCAAUCCCUAUCAUUUGUAAAUCGUAUAAAAUGGGUCUUUGUGUUAACAACAUAGCACUCGUACUCACAUACGAUCUUCUACUCAAUGCGUCAACUACUACGUUUGCUUUUCCAGGAUGGUAUUGAAUGGUAUAAUCGUAAUCUUUCAACAGCUCGAGCCAACGUCAUUGCCGCAUGUUGAGUUCCUUUUGGGUGAAGAAGUAUUUGAGGCUUUUAUGAUCCGUAUAGAUCUCCACUUUCUCCCCAUACAGGUAGUGUCUCCAGAUUUUCAACGCAAAAACGACUGCUGCCAACUCUAGAUCAUGAGUAGGAUAAUUCCUCUCAUAUUCUUUGAGUUGUCGUGAGGCAUAGGCUAUGACUUUCCUAUAUUUCAUGAGAACACAUCCUAACCCUUUGCCCGAAGCAUCGCUGUAGAUAACAAAUCCAUCCGAACCAGAUGGUAUUGCGAGAAUAGGUGCCGAAAUGAGUCUCCUCUUGAGCUCUUGGAAACUCUUCUCGCAUUCCUCGCUCUAUACGAAUUUUGUAUCUUUCUGAGUUAACUGAGUUAACAGAGUAGCGAUUCGAGAAAAUCCUUCCAUGAAUCUCCGAUAAUAACCAGCUAAGCCCAGAAAGCUACGCCCUUCGGCCAUCGACUUCGGUUGCUCCCAACUUUGUAUUGCUUCAAUCUUCGUCGGGUCGAUAGAUACUCCAUGUUUUGACACCACGUGCCCAAGGAAUUCUACUUCCUCAAGCCAGAACUCGCAUUUCUUCAGCUUGGCAUAUAACUUGUUUUCACGAAGCCUUUCAAGUAUCAGCUUCAAAUGGUGCUCAUGAUCUUCACGGCUUUUGGAAUAGAUGAGGAUGUCAUCAAUAAAGACAACAACGAACUGAUCCAAAUAUUCCUUGAAUACNNNNNNNNNNNNNNNNNNNNNNNNNNNNNNNNNNNNNNNNNNNNNNNNNNNNNNNNNNNNNNNNNNNNNNNNNNNNNNNNNNNNNNNNNNNNNNNNNNNNNNNNNNNNNNNNNNNNNNNNNNNNNNNNNNNNNNNNNNNNNNNNNNNNNNNNNNNNNNNNNNNNNNNNNNNNNNNNNNNNNNNNNNNNNNNNNNNNNNNNNNNNNNNNNNNNNNNNNNNNNNNNNNNNNNNNNNNNNNNNNNNNNNNNNNNNNNNNNNNNNNNNNNNNNNNNNNNNNNNNNNNNNNNNNNNNNNNNNNNNNNNNNNNNNNNNNNNNNNNNNNNNNNNNNNNNNNNNNNNNNNNNNUCAUAACAGGUUGGUUAGGAAUAUUAAAACUAACAACCUUACGAAAACAAUCAAUUUUGGCAUGAUGAGUGGUUAACCAAUCAAUUCCUAAAAUCACAUCAAAAGCAAGUAUCUUUAAAGAGAUAAGAUCAACAGGUAAUGUGAUAGUGCCAACUUGGAUCAAGAAAGAUUUAUAAACUGUAGAUGUAACGAAGGUUUCACCCAACGGAGUUUCAACAGAUAAGUUAAAGUCCAAUUUCUCCGGAGUCAAGUUUAAACGUUGAGCACAAGCAGGAGAGAUAAAAGAAUGUGUAGAACCGGUAUCUAGUAAGGUAUAAACUUCGCAAGAGUUUAUGAUAAGCUUACCCGUGAUCACCUCAUUUAGGUUCCUUAUGUUUUGGCCAGUCACGACAAACGCUCUUCCAAGAAUCGCUGAUUUUGACUUAUCCGGGAUAGCCUUUGGAGUCAGCAUCCCCGCUGAACUUGGUUUUGCUACAGAACACUCUUGAGCUAUAUGGCCCUCCUUUUCAUAGUUAUAACAUACCUUGGAUUGUUGUGGGCAGUUUGGGCUGAUAUGUCCCUCUUUCCCGCAUUUAUAACACACGACCGGUGGUCGUUCUCCUCCCCUAGCAACAGCUGAUACUGGUAUUGCUGCUGAUAUCUUCCCGUCAUUGUUGAAUCUCCUUUUUUUGAAAUUUCCACUUGACUCACCUCUUCUAUUAUCAUGGUCAUGAUUACCAUCCGAGUGGUUACCGCUUUUGUCCGUAUUUUUCCUUCCUCGCUGGUUAUCAUCGCUCCGAUGACUGCUGUCACCGGUAUGACCCUGGUUGUGGUCCCUCGGUUGAGUAUACUCAUUAUCUCGCUCUAAUAAUUAAGCCCUGUUGACAACAUCUGAAUACAGAGAAAUUUAUGAGAGAUAAGAUAUUGACGAAUCUCGGGUUUUAGACCUCUUAGAAACAUUCGCAUCAUACGUUCCUCAUUCUCUACCAAAUGAGGUGCAAACCUGGAUAACUCCGCGAACUUCUCCUCGUACUGAGACACCGUCAUGUUGUUCUGUUCUAGUCUAAUAAACUCUACCUCCUAUUCAAGUUAUCCCAGGGCCGUAGCGGUUAGGACUUUGCUUCUGAAAAGAUUAGGGGAGAACACCCGGUCCCGCAAGCACCAACAACUGUCAAUCUAAUAAGAAGUAGGUGCUAGGCUCAUGUCAUUAGGGGAAGCCUCAAAUUGACCUGUCAAUUCAAGCACGCACAUUGUCGUGUUCAGGCCUGACUCCGUUGAGGAUGAUGCGUACCCUCUUGGCCUAUGAAUACUUGCUUUCUCCGUCCAGCUGCUCACACUGAAAGCACAUCUCCUUUACUCCCCCUUCUAUUCAAUUCUCCCUCAUACGAAUUCGAAUAAAAGAAUAUAAGGUCAGGGAUUGUGGCUAGUUGCUUCACCCCGGCGGCAUAUUCCCCCUGGUCCGUAAGUACCACGCUCCUGUCCCGUACCCACUGAACCUCCGGGUCCCUUUUGAGUGCGUAAUAUACGAACUUUUCAGGAAAGUACUUGUCAUUGAACAGUUUCUGAAAUCUUUCCCAAGACAUAUUGAGUGCGGCUGGCUGGGUACGCUUCACGGAUUCCCACCAGUAAUCUGUCUCUCCACGAAACAUAAAGGUGGCGAAUGGAACCUUCUGUUCCUCCGUGCAUCCCAAGACAUCGAAUAUCUUGGUAAUUUGCUUAACCCAUGUUUCCGCCUUAAUAGGAUCGGGCUUUCCCCAGAAAUCUGGUGGUCCCAACUCCUUGAACUGCUUGACUGUGACAGACCGUGCGUUGCUAUCACUUCCACCCGUAUUUUGUACACAAGUCUCCCUCGUCUGAUUUUGCAUGAACUACAAAAAGCUCCUAAACAUCCAUCAUUCAUCGUUUGCUCGGUAGCGUUGUUUACAGGAGUAAUAUUGCCUUCAUGUUGCACGUUCUCCUGGUUUGUGACUAAAGGUUGUUCCACAGUCUCAUACACUCCAUUGUUAAUAUUCUCAGCAGCCAUUCUUAAAUACUGCCAUAAACAAGGGUUAAUUAAACAAAUUAACAUAUCACAUAAUAUCCCUAUAUUAUGACCAACCAACAAAUAAGCUUAGAUAGGACACACUAGCGAUUGAUUUACUCAUCUUUUCCCUCCUAGUUCUAUUCUCCGAUCUCCUCCAAAAACCAUAUUCCUAAGCUUUGAUACCAACUGUGACGCCCCCAAAAUAGGUAUACAACACCCAUUCUGAGUUGCCAAUUAUAUGGUACAGAAAGCAAAAUACAACUUCAAUAAUACAAUUGUCGUGCAAAAUACGACAACACAUACUGUGAGUUUAAAUACUCUUUUAGUCCCCUUUGCUUUCUGUCUGAUUCAUCUGGUCACCUUUAAGGAUGGCAGGAUUGGACCGACGAGAUCUUUGGAAACACUGAUUAUGUGGAUAUACUCAAGAGUGCGGGCAUCUUUUGUUGUGUUCAACUAGUAGAGACCUAUGUGUCCAAUAGAACCAUAACGCCCUUAUUGUAUUGAUCUCACGAUGAUGCUCCUCUACUUGCACAUUCAUCACUGCCUGGGGAGAAUGCACCUUUACGCUGGAGGAUGUCUAUACCAUCAACCAGUAAGCAUUUUUCCCCUUGCGCGUGAGUCACGCCUUUGGUGAGAUGAUCGCACAAAAUAUUUUAACUAUUGAAGUCUUGAUUCUAGUUUUUAAACACUUUGCGAGGCUUGAUAUUUUGCAAGCCUCAAAAACAAAAGUCUUAGGAGAGGGAACCUCUAGGGGAGUAAACCCUAGAAGGGCGUGCCUUAGAGGAGCUCUACCAUGGAAUAUUUUGAAAAUCUUUGAUCUAAUCCCAUUGGGCUCUUUUGCGAGCAUCGCAAAUAGGGAAGCGGGUAUCGAGUCUUCUUCACCACAUGAUGAUUGUGUCAGUCUUGAUGCUAGGGAUUCUUUGUCUGAUGUAAGCUCGGAUAACCUGUUGUGGGUGAUGCAGCGCUCUCUUUACGCCUUUUUACAACUUCUCCACAUGACAGUUUUGAGACUCUUGCUUCUUUGAGGCGGAAUCCUUCUAAGACUAUUGCUGAUGUUCAUCCUCCCAAGGAGGAUUCCGCCGAGUUGAUGAUUGCUCGGGAGGGUAUUGUGGAUAGUACUUUGGGUGGGUUGAAUGACCUUUCGUCUCCCGUGGCCUUUCCUAACUCUCCUUAGACAUGUCUCCCUUCUAUGUUAGGUUGGAUCUCUAUAUUUCUAAUCAUGUUGUUGCACUUUAUUCGGAAGUCACUUCACGUCAUCAUGAGAAUAACUUACUUUAUGUAGAGUUUUAGGAGCUUCAAGAUGUCAUGGAUAAAUUGAAGACCAAGAUUUUGGGAAAUUAAUUUAGCUGCCCAAGAUCUUGAAGGCCUGAUAGCCUCAAAUACGAAGGCUCGAUGCUCCACUAUUGUUGACUUGGAGGCUUUAGCUAUUCCCCUUUCCUCAGUACGACAUGUCAUGGCCUUUAAAUCAUGAACUUUUAUAGUUUUUUUCUAUUUCCUGUAUCAGAAAAUCAGAAAAUUCAUGUGCAUAUAUUUCAUUAAUCAAAUUGUAGUUUCUUUUAUCCUUAUUGAUUACCUUUAAUUUGAAAUAUUCCUUAAAACUCAAUAUUUAAUAUUGGAUCUUAAGUUGUCCAAAUUAAUACUCCAAGACAACAAUAGGUAUUAUAAAUAAGUAAACAUGAAUUUUGUUAAAAAAAACGUGUAUAUAUAUUUUCUACAAACCAACACUUGAAUUUAUACUUUUUUUUAAGAAAUCAGGAAAACGUUCAAGUAUAAGUGAAAGUUUGUCAAUUCAUUGAUAAUUAGAUUGCUUUUAAUGAAAAGCAUAACGUUUCAUAUAAUAAAUCUUGCUUUUAUUGAAGAAAGCGUAACGUUCGCCACUUUUAGAGAUAAAGUAUAACUUUUGGGGUUGAGGGCUUAUACUUAGGUGCCUCAAUCACUUUUGAAGUUGAAAGUGUAAUUUCCGAGGGCUGUUAGUCAGGUGCCUUGAUUACUUUUGAAGUUGAAAGUAUAACUUUUCGGGUCUGAGGACUUAUAGUCAGGUGCCUCAUUCACUUUUGAUGAUAAAGUAUAACACUCGGAUGCCUCGUCACUUGGGUCGUCCAAUUUCUUGGCAAAUGCGGUCUAAGAGGACUUGAAAUCGGGUGCCUCGUUAUUUGGGUCAUCCAAUUUAUUGGCAAGUGCAGUCUACGAGGACUUGAAAUCGGGUGCCUCAUCACUUGGGUCGUCCAAUUUCUUGGCAAGUGCAGUCUACGAGGACUUGACCACCAUUUAGAGUGGACCACCAUCUUGGGUGGAUUUUUUUUUUAAAUUUUAUUUUGUCAAUUCUUGUGCCUCCUCCCUUGGUCAUCCAAUUACUUGGCAAGGGAUACUCCUGAGGAUUUGAACAACCAUUUUUGGUGGACCACCAUCUUGGGUGGAUUUUUAAUUCUUCAAUUCUUGUAUCUGUAGUUCAGAGUUCUUUCGAUGGUAGAGCCAGUAUUUGAGUUCUUGAUUUUUGGAACUGCACCCUGGUGAUAGUGUUGCAUGUUUCUUUUCCUAGUUCAAUCUCCCCGACUGCCAGCUUCUCAUGGUAUAUCCUCCGCAAACUGUAACAGUUCAUAGUGGAAUGUCCUGUGUAUUGGUGGUAUACACAGAAGUCCGUUCUUCUUUUCAUCUCUUCUAUUAUAACCAACCCAAGCCUUAGAGGCUUCACCACUUCAUGCUCAACCCAUUGUUCAUACAGGCUCCUGAAUGCCUCCUCGCUGCAUGUGAUAGCCUCCAGAACUGGCAUUCUGGUGUACUUGUCCCCCUGCUUUUCUCUGCUUCACUGAAAUUUCUCAUUCUUCUCCCUCUUACCCCCCUGUGGUUUUGAUUGAGAAUCCGCUAAAGCCACAGUUGUUGUCCUCUUGCCCUUCUAUGUAACCAUCGCAUGGUUGGUGGGCAAUGUCAUGAUUCCUCCCAAGUCUUGUGCAAAAGAUGAAAGGGUUGCAAAUGAAUCACAAGCUUUGGUAAUGAGGUGGGGCUUGAAGGUGUCUAAAGCACCAUUGUUGCAUAUGCUAACCAAGUUCUUUUCUUCAAUUGCCCCUGCACACUUCUGUGUUUGGGCCCUGAACCUAUCCACGUAAUCUGACAGUUCUUCGUUUGGCUUCUACUUGAAUCGCAUGAGCUCUACGGUGGUUACCUGUUUCUGAACAUAGAAAAAUUUCUUAAAAAAUUAUAAUUUUAGAUCAUUCCAAUCAUGGACUGAUCCCUUCUCCAAGUUGUAGUACCAACUGAAGGCAUUAUCUGUCAAAGUCUUGUUGAAUUCCCUCAUCAACAAAUUGUGAGUGUUCAUUUCAUUAUAUCCUAACCAUGGAGACAUCGACUCCACGAACCUGGCAAUGUGUUCCUUGUCAUUUCCUUUCCCCCCAUUGUAUUUUGGAAAUUGCGGGGGAUGCUCUAUAUACCCUGCCGGGUAAGGUUGUCUCCGAAUAUGUGCCGGGUAAGGUUGAGUAAAGUCUAACUCCGAAGGUCGGGAUGUCUGCCUAUGAAGUUGAUUGAUCACAUUGAUCAUAUCAUCCUUUGUCACAUAUUGGCUCGUGGUAUGGACUCGGUGUGGUAUUGUGAUGUAUGGCGGUAUUGGCCGUGUGUAUGGUACAGAAAUUGGUUGAUGUACACUGGUAUCAUGAAAAUUCGGUAUCAGUUGUGCUUGUGGAUUGGUUCGUUGGACGAGGCUUGGGAUGGUUGGUAUCUGUACUUGUGAAAAUGCGGGGAUAGUAGUCGGAAUGACGUUUGUCUGAGGCUGGCUGACUUUCAGUCUGGGUUGUGGGACGUCACCAUUGUUCUGAGGUUCAAAAUGGAUGAUUGGUAUAGACUGAUUCUCCGUCAAUGGAGGUGCAGUCUGAUUCUCCUUAUUGUUGCUAUCGUUGUUGUUGUCCUCCACUUCUGCUUGUUUUUCCUGUGAAUUGUGUGGGAAUAUGACCUUGAAAGCGGGGAUCUGCAUCAACUGCUGGCAGAAAUUUCCCAUUUCCUCUUGUUGUCUCUGUAUCUCCAACAUCAUAGCCAUCAUCAUCCCUUGUCCUUCCCGUGCUUCCUUCACCGCCUUGAGCAUCUCCAGUUGCACAACAUUUGUCUGCUUUUCACUUUCUUCCUCGCCUUGCCUUCCCACGUCUGUCUGCCUAACAAUCGUUGGUUGUUGAUCACCCAUGUAUGGCAAUGUUGAACUUCAUCCUGAGGUGUCUUCCAGGAUGGGUGGAUCGAGAUCUAGAUUCACACCUUGGAAAGCUUGAUUUGUUUGCCUUGGAAUUGGAUUCGGUGAGGUAAUGCUAUUUGUUGGUGAAGCUCUUCCUGUAAUUCUCCCAUUUCAAGUUGUGGACAUACCCUUCACGGAUUCUACACCUCCCCAGUAGAGUCGCCAAAAAAAUGUGGGCAAGGAAAUCGUACCUUGCUAGGAUUAGGGUUUCGUGUUGGCUGAGGAUGAGAGAAAUCCACGAAGAGCACGAAAUUGAUUGAUUGAUUGAAGAGGGGAAAACGACAGGUGGGUGAUUACUCCAAUGACGCGUGGCAGAACUCCUAGAAUUCGAAAACCGUGUUAGGGUUAUUGAGAUUCCAAGAGCCUUCUUCUUGAGUCAUUCCACUCCUAGAAUCCGGAAACCUUGUUAGGGUUAUUGGGAUUCCAAGAGUUUUCUUGAGUGUUGAGAAAGAAUGCCCCGGUCUUUCGAUCUUCCAAGAGUCCAAGUCGUGUGUCUGAAGAUAGGUCCCCUUCCCAAUGGAAUAGAAGGGGUAUUUAAAGGGUUUUCUGGAAAGUAGUCAUGUGUCAGGCACAUACUUUCAGAGAAAUUCCAUAAAUACCCUUUAAUCAUCAAAGUAAUAUCCAGAUUGUCCUGUCCUUUUAGCCACCAAUUCAAUCCCUCAAUCUAUUCCCAAAACGAGCUGCCUCCACGAGCCUUCUGCCUCGGGACCCGUGGAGGCUUCUCUCGGGUCUCGCCUAUUUAUUUUCGGCUUUUCCGUCUUCAUUCUAUUAGGUUAUGCGAAUCCUAAUUUGCACAUUUAAUGAGUCCGUGGAAUCCUAAUUGUAUAUUUAAUUCAAUUAGGUCAUGUGAACCCUAAUUUUACAUUUGGGCCCAUAAUUUAUAUUUUUUACAUUAUUUAAAUUAUUUUAUUGCAAUUAAUUUAUUUUAUUUUAUUUUAUAUUAAUUGCCUUAUGCUAUCUUAUGUUAUCUAAUUUAUUAUAGUUUAUAUUAUAUUAUAUUAUAUUUUGUGAAUUUAGUUUAUAUUAUUAUAUUAUUUUAUUUUAUUUAGUAAUAUCAAAAUUAAGUAAAUGCUACUUAAUUUAUUUUAAUAUUGAGAAACUAAUUAAAUAAUACAUAAAUACAUAUAGGACCAAUAAAUUUUUAAAUUGAAUAUUUCUGACAGAAAUUUUGUCUAAAAUUCUAUCAGAAAUAACAAAUAUAUCAAAUAACAUAAAUGAUCAUCACUCAGUAUCAGAAUCAAUUAACAUAAGGCAUCAAAAUUAUAAACAACAUACAAAUUAAUCUAAAAAUUUAUACUAUACACAAAAAAGGAACAAAAAAUUUCGCAAGUAUUGAUUCAAUGUACAUUGACAGAAAGUUCCAAAUAAUAUGAAGUCCUAAAUUAAAUGAUUUAACGCAAAUACACAAAUAUUAAACUCAAUUUUCGCACAACAUUUCCAAUUAAUUUUUUGUACUUGGGCAAUAUACGUUCAAAAAAUAAUUUACCAACAGCAAUAACUUAAAACUUAAUCAUCCUAAUUUUAGCAACAAUACCAAAAACUAAAUAUUAAAAUUUCAUAGGUUCAGCAACAAUAUUCACAAAGUAAUUCCAUAUUAAAUUAAAAAAAAAAUUAUAGAGUGGAAAAAAAAUUAACCAUACUGAAAUUAAUUAACCACUAACCUUUCUAGGUAACAAAGUAUCUUAAGGAGGAGGAGGAGAAUGUGGAGGAGAACCCCGCCGGAAGUGGGGAGACAACAUUGUCGGAUGUCUCAAUUAGUCGUCACUGGAGGUGAGGAGAGUGCUGAGGUGCUGCGGCAUCGGAGGGUGGGAAGCACACAGCCGUCGUCGUUGAUGAGAGCGUAGACAGAUGAGAGACUGCUGAAAGACUGAUAAGAGAGAGAGUUUUGAGAGAUAACAG
rnacentral:lncRNA from 1 species